UACGGAGGGUGCAAGCAUUGAUCGGAAUGACUGGGCGUAAAGGGCGCGUAGGCGGCCAUAAAAGUCAGAUGUGAAAUUCCAGGGCUCAACCCUGGAGCUGCAUUUGAAACUCUAUGGCUAGAGGAAAGCAAGGGAAAACGGAAUUCCACGUGUAGCGGUGAAAUGCGUAGAUAUGUGGAAGAACACCGGUGGUGAAGACGGUUUUCUGUGCUAAGCCAGACGCUGAGGCGCGAAAGCUAGGGGAGCAAACAGG
rnacentral:misc_RNA from 1 species